rnacentral:lncRNA from 1 species
GACAGGGUCUGGAGAAUCUUCAGGAGCCUCUGGGGACAAGGAUCAUCUAUACAGCACAGUAUGCAAGCCUCGGUCCCCAAAGUCUGUAGCCCCUGUGGCUCCUCCGUUCUCCUCUUCCAGUGGUGUGUUGGGCAAUGGACUCUGUGAGCUAGACCGUCUACUUCAGGAACUUAAUGCCACCCAGUUCAACAUUACAGAUGAAAUCAUGUCUCAGUUCCCAUCUAGUAAGAUGGCUGAAGGGGAAGGAAAGGAGGACCAAUCUGAAGACAAGAGCAUAACCACUGUCCCUUCCAGCACAUUCCCUGCCCCCUCAAAGCCUUCAGCCACCUCAGCCACUCAGGAGCUAGAUAGACUGAUGGCAUCGCUCUCUGACUUUCGUGUCCAGAACCAUCUUCCGGCCUCAGGGCCACCUCAGCCUCCAGCAGUGAGCCCCACCCGUGAGGGAUGCCCAUCUCCACCAGGACAGACCAACAAGGGCAGUCUGGACACCAUGCUGGGCCUGCUGCAGUCUGACCUCAGCCGCCGUGGUGUUCCCACUCAGGCCAAGGGCCUCUGUGGCUCCUGCAAUAAACCUAUUGCUGGGCAAGUGGUUACCGCCCUGGGUAGAGCCUGGCAUCCGGAGCACUUCCUUUGCAGAGGUUGUUCCACAACCCU